rnacentral:snRNA from 1 species
GCACCCUCUUGAGGCUCAUACACUAAAAUUGGAUAGAUACAGAGAAGACUGUCAUGCUCUCUGCUCAAGGAUGACAUAUAAAUUCAUGAAGAGUGUAAUUAUGCA